AACUUUAAUCUAUGUUGUUUACUUAUCAUUUUCCUUCUAUUUUAAAAUACAAUGCAGCAUGCUUCAUUCUUCAAGCAACAGAAAUUGAGUGUAGAAAAAUUUCUACUAUCUCUGUCAACUAAAAGUGUUUCUCUGUUGAUGGUGUGUUGUCUGACUUCCCAACUACUGCAUCUGCAGCCAUAAGGUGUUCUUAUUGUAGGCGAGAGGGGUACAGGUAAGACAUGUCUAGCAUUGGCUAUAGUUGCUGAGGCUAAGGUGUUCAUUGUUGAAAUUAAGGCCCAACAAUUGGAGGCUAGGUUGUGGGUUGGACAAAGUGCCUCCAAUGUUCGUGAAUUGUUUCAGACAACUAGAGAUCUGCAUUCUUGGAACUGGACUAGAAUGGCUGGCCAAUCACUAACUGGCCCCACUUUGUGGAGGAUUUUGACUUGUUUGUUGGUGUACGUGGUACAUAUAUUCAUACCAAAAAUCAAGGCCAUGAAACUUUCAUCAAUCAACUACUUGUGGAACUUGAUGGAUUUGAGAAACAAGAUGGGGUUGUUUUGAUGGCUACUAUUAGAAAUCUCAAGCAAAUUGAUGAGGCCUUGCAGAGGCCAGGUCGCAUGGAUAGAAUAUUUCAUCUUCAAAGACCGACACAAGCUGAGAGAGAAAAAAUAUUAUGUACUUGUCAACAAAAGAAACAAUGGAUGAUCAGUUUAUUGAUUAUGUUGAUUGGAAAAAGGUUUAUCCUACUUUCUCUUUUUUAAAUAGAACACUUUUUUCCCCUAGAAAACAGUGAAAGUUCAACUAGGGGGAUGAUUCCUAUCUAGGAAAGUUGCAUUUGACUUUUAUCGGUAAUUACUUGUUUGUUUUGUUUAA